rnacentral:rRNA from 1 species
AGGACGAACGCUGGCGGCGUGCUUAACACAUGCAAGUCGAACGAUGAACUUCCUUCGGGAGGGGAUUAGUGGCGAACGGGUGAGUAACACGUGGGCAAUCUGCCCUUCACUCUGGGACAAGCCCUGGAAACGGGGUCUAAUACCGGAUAUGACACGGGGUCGCAUGAUCUUCGUGUGGAAAGCUCCGGCGGUGAAGGAUGAGCCCGCGGCCUAUCAGCUUGUUGGUGGGGUGAUGGCCUACCAAGGCGACGACGGGUA